UGCAAGUCGAGCGGUAGAGAGAAGCUUGCUUCUCUUGAGAGCGGCGGACGGGUGAGUAAUGCCUAGGAAUCUGCCUGGUAGUGGGGGAUAACGUUCGGAAACGGACGCUAAUACCGCAUACGUCCUACGGGAGAAAGCAGGGGACCUUCGGGCCUUGCGCUAUCAGAUGAGCCUAGGUCGGAUUAGCUAGUUGGUGAGGUAAUGGCUCACCAAGGCGACGAUCCGUAACUGGUCUGAGAGGAUGAUCAGUCACACUGGAACUGAGACACGGUCCAGACUCCUACGGGAGGCAGCAGUGGGGAAUAUUGGACAAUGGGCGAAAGCCUGAUCCAGCCAUGCCGCGUGUGUGAAGAAGGUCUUCGGAUUGUAAAGCACUUUAAGUUGGGAGGAAGGGCAGUUACCUAAUACGUGAUUGUUUUGACGUUACCGACAGAAUAAGCACCGGCUAACUCUGUGCCAGCAGCCGCGGUAAUACAGAGGGUGCAAGCGUUAAUCGGAAUUACUGGGCGUAAAGCGCGCGUAGGUGGUUAGUUAAGUUGGAUGUGAAAUCCCCGGGCUCAACCUGGGAACUGCAUUCAAAACUGACUGACU
rnacentral:rRNA from 1 species